UACGUUCGCGCGGGAGAGUCCUCGUGUCGUCCGCACGAGGCGCCGAAGGAGCAACUCCUCCCCGGAAUCUCUCAGGCACCCGUACCGCGUGGUCGUG
rnacentral:ncRNA from 2 species